rnacentral:rRNA from 1 species
AGAUGUAGCAUUAUUACCUUGAGAAGACCCAGUCUCAUUUGAUCCCAGAAGCUAAGCAGGGUGUGGCCUGGUUGGCACUCGGAUGGGAGACUCUUGGGAAUGCUAAGUGCUGUAGAGG